UUAAGUCGACCGCCUGGGGAGUACGGCCGCAAGGUUAAAACUCAAAUGAAUUGACGGGGGCCCGCACAAGCGGUGGAGCAUGUGGUUUAAUUCGAUGCAACGCGAAGAACCUUACCUGGUCUUGACAUCCACGGAAGUUUUCAGAGAUGAGAAUGUGCCUUCGGGAACCGUGAGACAGGUGCUGCAUGGCUGUCGUCAGCUCGUGUUGUGAAAUGUUGGGUUAAGUCCCGCAACGAGCGCAACCCUUAUCCUUUGUUGCCAGCGGUCCGGCCGGGAACUCAAAGGAGACUGCCAGUGAUAAACUGGAGGAAGGUGGGGAUGACGUCAAGUCAUCAUGGCCCUUACGACCAGGGCUACACACGUGCUACAAUGGCGCAUACAAAGAGAAGCGACCUCGCGAGAGCAAGCGGACCUCAUAAAGUGCGUCGUAGUCCGGAUUGGAGUCUGCAACUCGACUCCAUGAAGUCGGAAUCGCUAGUAAUCGUGGAUCAGAAUGCCACGGUGAAUACGUUCCCGGGCCUUGUACACACCGCCCGUCACACCAUGGGAGUGGGUUGCAAAAGAAGUAGGUAGCUUAACCUUCGGGAGGGCGCUUACCACUUUGUGAUUCAUGACUGGGGUGAAGUCGUAACAAGGUAACCGUAGGGGAACCUGCGGUUGGAUCACCUCCUUACCUUAAAGAAG
rnacentral:rRNA from 1 species